AUUUAUCGGUGAUAGAUGGGCAUGCGUCUGAUUAGUUAGAUGGUGAGGUAACGGCUCACCAUGACGAUGAUCAGUAGGGGGCGUCAGAGCGUGGUCCCCCACACUGGCACUGAGAUACGGGCCAGACUCCUACGGGAGGCAGCAGUAGGGAAUAUUGGGCAAUGGAUGCAAGUCUGACCCAGCCAUGCCGCGUGGAGGAAGAAGGUCCUCUGGAUUGUAAACUCCUUUUGUCGGGGAAGAAUAGUUCUCUUGCGAGGGAAAGUGACGGUACCCGAUGAAUAAGCCACGGCUAACUACGUGCCAGCAGCCGCGGUAAUACGUAGGUGGCAAGCGUUGUCCGGAUUUAUUGGGUUUAAAGGGUGCGUAGGUGGUUUAUUAAGUCAGUGGUGAAAGCUGGUUGCUCAACAAUCAAGUUGCCAUUGAUACUGAUAGACUUGAGAGAAGUGGAGGUUCAU
rnacentral:rRNA from 1 species